CUUUGGAGGGAGUACUUUAGUCACAUCCAGGGAGGACUGAGAGGUGGAGGGAGUAUCUUAGUCACAUCCAGGGAGGACUGAGCUCUGGAGGGAGUACUUUAGUCACAUCCAGGGAGGACUGAGAGGUGGAGGGAGUAUCUUAGUCACAUCCAGGGAGGACUGAGCUCUGGAGGGAGUACUUUAGUCACAUCCAGGGAGGACUGAGCGGUGGAGGGAGUACUUUAGUCACAUCCAGGGAGGUUGUGGUCAUUCAGAGUUAGAGACAGGUCCACAGCCAUCAGCACAUCUCUACUUUCUCAGCCUCUCCUUAUGGACUCCGUAGUGUAACUGACUAUCUUUGAGAUCUGCUCAACUGUCCUGUCUGACAGCACAGAAAUAUACUGAACUAUCCUCUUGUGUCAGUGUGGGAACAGAAGCGAUCAGCGGAGUCCCCUGGGGGUCAUUACCAAGGAGUCUGGAGAACCCUGGCACCUAGACACAACCCUGGGAGGAGAGGAAGAGGAGAGGAAGAGGAGAGGAGGAUGAGAGGAAGAGGGGUAAGAGGAGAGGAAGAGGGGGAAGAAGUGGAGAGGAAGAGGAC
rnacentral:lncRNA from 1 species